GACGAACGCUGGCGGCGUGCCUAACACAUGCAAGUCGAACGGAGUCGGCCCCGCAAGGGACUGACUUAAGUGGCGAACGGGUGAGUAACGCGUGAGCAACCUGCCUUUCAGUGGGGGACAACAGUUGGAAACGACUGCUAAUACCGCAUAAUGCAUUUUGACCGCAUGAUCGAGAUGCCAAAGAUUUAUUGCUGAAAGAUGGGCUCGCGUCUGAUUAGAUAGUUGGUGGGGUAACGGCCCACCAAGUCGACGAUCAGUAGCCGGACUGAGAGGUUGAACGGCCACAUUGGGACUGAGAUACGGCCCAGACUCCUACGGGAGGCAGCAGUGGGGAAUAUUGGGCAAUGGGGGAAACCCUGACCCAGCAACGCCGCGUGAAGGAACGAAGGCUUUCGGGUUGUAAACGUUCUUUUACCAGGGUACGAAGAAAGUGACGGUACCUGG
rnacentral:rRNA from 1 species